CCCUUAGAUGUUCUGGGCCGCACGCGCGCUACACUGAUUCAUGCAACGAGUUUUUUCCUUGGCUGAAAGGCCUGGGUAAUCUUUGAACGUGAAUCGUGCUGGGGAUAGAUGAUUGCAAUUAUUCAUCUUCAACGAGGAAUUCCUAGUAAACGCAAGUCAUCAGCUUGCAUUGAUUACGUCCCUGCCCUUUGUACACACCGCCCGUCGCACCUACCGAUUGAAUGGUCCGGUGAAAUCUUCGGAUCUGAGAGAUGUUGGAUUCAUUUCUGACGCCUUUUAGAAAAGUUGCUUAAACCUUAUCAUUUAGAGGAAGGUGAAGUCGUAACA
rnacentral:rRNA from 1 species